rnacentral:rRNA from 1 species
AUUGAACGCUGGCGGCAGGCCUAACACAUGCAAGUCGAGCGGAGCGGAGGACGGGUGAGUAAUGCCUAGGAAUCUGCCUGGUAGUGGGGGAUAACGUCCGGAAACGGGCGCUAAUACCGCAUACUAUCAGAUGAGCUUAGGUCGGAUUAGCUAGUUGGUGGGGUACAGGCCUACCAAGGCGACGAUCCGUAACUGGUCUGAGAGGAUGAUCAGACACACUAGAACUGAGACAAGGUCCAGACUCCUACGGGAGGCAGCGGUGGGGAAUAUGCGAAAAUGGGCGAAAGCCAGAUCCAGUCAAGCCGCGUGUGUGAAGAAGGUCUUCGGAUUGUAAAUCACUGUUAGUUGGGAGGCGUUACCAACAGAAUAAGCACCGGCUAACUUCAUGCCAGCAGCCGCUGUAAUAC